rnacentral:tRNA from 2 species
CUCCUCGUAGCAUAACGGAUAGUGCACGCGCCUCCUAAGCGUGAGAUAUGGGUUCGAUUCCCGUCGAGGAGGCCA